AGGUGUGUAGCUCAGCUGGUAGAGCAUUAGGCUUUUAACUUACUGGCCGCAGGUUCAAAUCCUGCCACACCUA
rnacentral:tRNA from 1 species